CGGAGGCUACACACAGGUGCAGCAGAGCAGCUGUUUCUCCGUCUUUCAUCUCUCCGUAAUUCACGUGUAGUGUUGCUGCUGCGAUCAUAAACAGACUGGAAUACCGAGCAACUCACACCAGUCAAACGCAACUGAAGGCUGUGUGUAUCUCCGACAUGUUAACAAGUACGCAUGUGGUGAUCCAGCGGUGCCGUGGCAGCAGCUCUAUGAGCAGCGCUGCCAGACCAAUGGGGAACUGCUACAGGCCCUGGUGCGCCAUGUUAGGCGCAGCAGGGCCUCACAGCAGCAGAACCAAGUCCUGCAGGCUGCCCUCAGAAAGGCGGAGGAAAGAGAGAGGGACCUCCAGCUGCAGCUUAAUGACCUCCGCCAGCAGGUGGAAAUUUUGCAGGGGAUGGCCAGUUUUGAGAUGAAGAUCAUAGUGCGGCUAAUGCUGAGCCAGGGUGCGAACUGGAAGAUGAAAGUCUUGCCAAUUAAUUAUAAAAUAAAAUAAUUUCAUUG